AAUUCCACAUGUCAGUGAAAGCAUUUGAUGUUGGCGUUUCAUUGUAUGGCUGACUUCACUUAGCAUGAUAAAUUUCUAGGUCCAUCCAUGUUGCUAAAAAUGCCGGUAUUUCAUUCCUUUUAAUGGCUGGGUAAUAUUCCAUUGUGUAUAUGUACCAACCUUCUUGAUCCACUCCUCUGUCGAAAGACAUUUAGGUAGUUUCCAUGUCUUGGCUGUUGCAAAUAGUGCUGCAAUGAACACUGGAGUACAUGUGUCUUUGCAAGUCGUGGUUUUCUCUGGAUAAAUGUCCAGAAGUGGGAUUGCUGGAUCAAAUGGUAAUUCUAUUUUUAGUUUUCUGAGGCAUCUCCAUACUGUUUUCCACAGUGGUUGCACCAAUUUACAAUCCCACCAACAGUGUAAUACCAAUCUCUCCUUUCUAUUGGAAUUAGAACAUAGAGAAAUACGAGGCACCUGAGCAGAGGUAGUUUAGAGACAAACUAUGAACUCUGUCAUUGUCCCAACACUUACUUUUGUUGAAUAGAACAUUUCUUUUUAACAUUCCAUUCUUCUACAACAAAGGAGAUAUCCUCUUUCCCAAACUCCCUCCAUUUAUCAAAAGGUGAGUGCUCUGAUAUAUAAACUUUUAACUACUUUAUCCAUGCACCAAGAGCAAAUUAAUGUCAUCCCAGGUUCCUAUCCUAAUCAACUGGUAAUAUCACCUGGAGCAUGCAUUAGCAGGGAUUCUAAGGCCCUAUAGAGAUACAGUGGCAAAGAGUACCAUGGUUGAUCUGCAAUGUCUGCCACAGGGCAUGAGUAGAACAUGGGUAGUCUAUAUGCCAUGGGUAUGUCAUUCUUACACAAGCAUGUUACUCCUCCUAGAUGUUACAGCUCUAAAGCUUUCUUUUAACAUAGUUUCAUGAAACAAGAUUUUUAUUCAAAAGUAUAAGUCUAAAAGAAGAAACCUCAGUCAUGGAGCCACUUGAUGGAGCGGAGUAUAAGUGGUGGACUCAACUUUGCAGAACUUCUCAUUUCACCAUACACAGAGAGCAACUGCAAUGAGUUAGCAAACGAGGAAGUAUAAGAGGCACACUUCUUAUGAUCUGUUUUAAAUACUUCUCUUCUGCUAAUGGUGUCCUGAAAGGAAACCAGCACCAGUCUAGGCAGAACUGUAAUGUGGCAGAAGGCAGACAUGUUGACCUGACAUAUGUAUAAAGGCAGGAGGAGAUGAAGACCUGGAGUACGGGAUGUGAACUGGUGCCAAAAAUAACAUGCAUAUAUAAAAUGUCACUUCUCUUUUUUUAAAAGUAUUUUUAAAGGUGAGAUGAUUAUACUCUUUGUAAACAGGACCUCUCUAAUAAAACAAAGAUAGAGUCAGACCAAAAUCAUUGCCAUGAGUUCAGAAGAAAAUGGACUCCAAACCAAGGAAGAGCCAAAUUACCUCAGAACUGUGCAGAGCGUUCAGGAGGGAGGAUGUCUUGCUACUUCCUCCAUCCCACCUCCACUCCCUAUUCCCUACAAUACAAAGCAUUUACAAAGAAAAGUGAAAAUGUGGAUUUGCUGCCAGUCGUAAACUUUAAAUGCCCUCGGCUCACUUCUAGUAUCUCCUAGAAUAUCCUAGAUGGUCUAGAGGAUGUUCUAGCCCAUCCCUCUCAGUAUCUACAAGCUUUUCUUUUGAUUAAGGACUACUUUUAACCUCUGAAUAUAUAUCUGGCUCUCCUUUCAGCUACUAUGGAUAAACGUUCCUCUUCCUCAACACCCCAUAACCAGUAUUUCUCUCCUUGUAGAUUAUGGUGGCUCUAAUAAAAAUGUGAGUCAGGCUAAAAUAUCCCUAGAACCCUUCAUCCAUUCUACUGGAUAUCUGAAGACCAUCAGAUUUCUUACAGGCUGGAGAGCCCCUUCUAAAGUUCAGUGGCAGGGAAAGCUAACAGACUUGAGAAGCACCCCAUGUUCCUCUUUCUUGAUCCCUUUCUCUUCAACUUCAUAAAAACUUACCUGAGAGACAAAGCCCUUCCAAUAUGUCAGAAAGCUAGGAUGUUUU
rnacentral:lncRNA from 1 species